rnacentral:rRNA from 1 species
GAUGAACGCUGGCGGCGUGCCUAAUACAUGCAAGUCGAGCGACCGGACGAGAAGCUUGCUUCUCUGCUGUUAGCGGCGGACGGGUGAGUAACACGUGGAUAACCUACCUAUAAGACUGGGAUAACUUCGGGAAACCGGAGCUAAUACCGGAUAAUAUUUUGAACCGCAUGGUUCAAAAGUGAAAGACGGUCUUGCUGUCACUUAUAGAUGGAUCCGCGCUGCAUUAGCUAGUUGGUAAGGUAACGGCUUACCAAGGCAACGAUGCAUAGCCGACCUGAGAGGGUGAUCAGCCACACUGGAACUGAGACACGGUCCAGACUCCUACGGGAGGCAGCAGUAGGGAAUCUUCCGCAAUGGGCGAAAGCCUGACGGAGCAACGCCGCGUGAGUGAUGAAGGUCUUCGGAUCGUAAAACUCUGUUAUUAGGGAAGAACAUAUGUGUAAGUAACUGUGCACAUCUUGACGGUACCUAAUCAGAAAGCCACGGCUAACUACGUG